UGCCAUAAGAAAAUGCACUGAACGUUUUGAUCUAAGCUCUAUUUCCAAGUGGGAACCAAUUUCAGUUUUUGUGUUAGCGGUUCCUUUUUGAGAGUUACACAAGGGCGAGAGUGUCUGAUUUUGAGCCACCGGGUGGCGACGUUUUUCCGUUUGAACAAGCAAGUGGUGAAGAACGCAAGAAAUGCUUAUUUUGCGUCCUCUCUGAUAGCAUUUUUGUUUAUUGUUGAAACCGGAGUUUGAAGACCUGUAUUGUCAGGAUUUACGUUUUUCUUCGUUUUCUCCCUCGAGCAAAUGCGGCAAUGAGGUAAUCCUUAGAUGUUAGCCAUGCUAUGUUAUGUUAGCAAGAACAUGACGAAUGUGUUUUAAGUGCAUGUGCAGAUUUAAGUUAUUUUGUGUGUAACGUUUAUUGUUCUCUGUGAGAACGUUUUAUGUUAAUAGUCUUUAUGUCUUUUAGUUCUCACGGCAUGUGUGUGGAGAAGUUGAAUAAAUGCCCGUUUUGAAGAACUGCUUGUACGCCUGAUUGACAAGAGGGAGCUACAGUGAGAACUCAGCCAGCCCGGCGCCAGAACAAGACGGUGUUCGGCAGAGCUACAAGCAAGUCACUUCACUCACCUCUUCCAUCGGACAGAUAAGAGACUGUACAUUCACCUGCCUACACAAAUAGCUACCUGAGUCCAGAGAGCUUUGGGUGCCAGUCAACAAUAAGUAAAACAUUUGAACAAGUUAAAUGUUUAAAGGUGGACUAGCCUCAAUUGCUGUAAAGGGACCUACAAGUGCUAAAUUGUGCAAUGUUAUGGUGAUGUGUGCAUGUUGUAAGGUUUAAGUGCGUGCUUAUUUGCACCUAGUAAUGUCUGAUUGAGGUGUGAACGACCAUUCAUAGCAUUUGAAAACAAGUUCAUUUGCGAACAUUCAAAGGUGUAGAACAACAUUUAAGUGAUUAAGUCAUUGCAAUGAAAAAUUAAGUUUAUUGUACAUUUAGUCAAUAUAUUAGACAGGUUGGUUGAUAAAGUAAAUUACAGGAGUCAGUAGUAAUUCAAGAUAGCCUACUGUAGUCAAGUGAUAAAACUAUAACAUCAUUACAUUAGUAAAUCAGAUAAAUACUGAGUUCAUGAGACUUCCUAAAAAUGGAUAGUGAGCAAGCAGAUAAAACUCUUAAGAGGGAGACUGAAAUAAGUGAAGGCAAACAACCUGCCCCAGAAGAUGCACUAAGAAGAAGUGAAAGAUCGAGAAGGCUCACUGAGAAGGGACAAGAACUCGAAGAGACUAAACUCAAAGGUCUCCAACAUCGUUUCUCACGUACCUAUGACAAGUGGAAGAUUCUUGCUAAGAAAUCAAGGAAGGAGAUAGAGGGAGCCUCUUCUCAAGAGAACCUACAAACUCUCAUCAACAAGAUAAAAGAAGCAUCAAAUGAUGUACAGCAGGCGUACGAAGACCUGCGCAAAUGCAUAAUCCCUGAUAAAGAGACACGCCGUCGAACAGACACCUGCGACACUGUCUCAAGGCAGAUAUUAGAGCAUGCUUGGAACCAUCUCCAAGACAAAGAUAACGAGCAAGAAAUAGAGUGGUUUGAGACUGGCUCUGUGUUCUCAUUAGGAGUAUCAGAAGCAUGCAGUGCAAGCUCAAGAUCAUCACUCUCAAGUAAAUCGUCAUGUAAAUCUUCAAAAAUAAGUGAAGCUGCAGCAGAAUUAGCAGCAAAUGAAGCCACUUUGGAAGUCCAAGAGCAAGUGGAGCGUGAGGAACGUGAACUCAGAAACCUAGAAGCUGAGUACAGACAAAGGCUUGUGCGACAAAAAAAGGAACGUGCACAAGAAGAAGAGCAAUGUAGACAAAGGCUUGCACAACAAGAAGAAGAAUGUGCUGCAAAUAAACAGGUCUUGGAAGAAAAGCGCAGAAAGAUAGAACGCUUAGAGACCAUAAAAAAGAUGAAUGCCGCCAAGGCCAAACUAGAAGUGUAUAAACAAGAACAAGGAUCAACCUCAGACUUGCUGGAUCUAUUCAAGGAUUAUAAGCCCAAACGAGAAAGGCUUACAUUCGACUCAAAACCUGCUGUCACGCCACAAUUAAUCACAAGGAUGCAAUCUUCUAUAACUACUCCCAAAGAGGAUAGCACAACUGAUUUCGCCAAGGUACUAGCAGAGUCCUUCAGUGUAAGCCGUCUCCCAGCACCAGAGCCUGCUGUUUUCAGUGGAGAUCCACUAAAGUACAAGGGCUGGAAAAUGUCCUUUCAAACGCUGAUAGGCAGAAAGAAUAUACCAGCGAACGAAAAAAUCUACUACCUACAAAAAUAUGUUGGUGGACCAGCAAAGAAAGCCAUUGAGGGAUACUUCCUUCUGGGAACAGAUGCAGCCUAUCAGACAGCGCUCGAUGUCCUGGAAAAAAGAUAUGGAAGCUCCUUUAUGGUUGCUAAGGCUUUCAGAGAUAAGCUGGCCUCAUGGCCAAACAUAGGACCCAAGGAAAGCAUUCAGCUACGAGAGUUCUCAGACUUCCUUCAAGGCUGUCAAGCAGCCAUGUCGCAAAUAAAGAGCCUGGAGGUCCUUAACGACUGUGGUGAAAACCAACGAAUGCUCUCCAAACUCCCCGACUGGCUUACAGCAAGAUGGAACCGAAGGGUGACCAGAAUGGAAAAGGAAAAUGAGACUUUCCCCAGCUUCGAUCAGUUCGUGGGAUUCGUCACAGAGGAAGCCGAUAUAGCUUGUAAUCCGAUUACCUCCCUUCACGCUCUGAAGUCUGUAGAUGGUGGAAAGGAGAAGCCACAAAAAACACGAAGUGUUGGUGCUAAGGUGCUAGCAAGUAGCUCUGAAGAGAAAACAGAUGCUAAAGGAUGUGUAUUCUGUGAGAAGUCAAAUCAUGGCUUACAGACAUGUCGAAGGUUCUUGAAAGAGACAACUGCAGAACGGGUCAAGUUUGUGAAAACAAACAAGCUCUGUUUUGGAUGUUUGAAAUCAGGACAUCAGUCCAAGAACUGUGAGAAGAGAAGCAUUUGUGAGACAUGCAAAAGGAAGCAUCCAACAUGUCUACAUGAAAAUCGUCCAAGGGAAGAAGAUAGGAAAGAACAAGAGGACGGCGAAAGAAAGGAGAGUGGGAGACGCUUUAAGAAAAAGGAAGACUUAUCAGAGUCUGAAGAGAAAGAAGAGACACCAGUAGAGGCAACAGCUAACAGAGUGGUGCAAGACAAGAGGAGCACCUAUUCCUCCACAGUUGUUCCUGUAUGGCUGUCCACAGCAAGUAAUCCAGAGCAGGAAGUGCUCGUAUACGCUCUAUUGGACAACCAAAGCGACACCACCUUUAUCCUGCAAGAAACGGCAGAAGUGUUAGUUACAAAGAAACAGCCUGUGCAAUUAAAGCUCUCCACUAUGUCAUCCAAAGAUACCGUCAUCCAGAGUCAGAAGUUAACUGGACUGCAGGUCAGAGGUUAUAAUGAGACAAGGAAAAUAUCUCUCCCAGUAACCUACACAAGAGAGUUUAUUCCUGCAAACCUAAGUCAUGUCCCAAUACCUGAGACAGCAAGAUCAUGGCCUCACCUAGAGCACCUUGCUGGAGAGAUCACUCCUUUAUGUGACUGUGAGAUUGGCCUGCUCAUAGGCUACAACUGUUCUCAGGCCCUGUUGCCCAGAGAAGUGGUGUCAGGAAAGGAUAAUGAGCCUUUCGCUCAACGAACAGACUUGGGCUGGAGUAUAGUUGGCUGUGCAGAUCCCUGCGUCGAUUAUGGAGAUGCAAUUGGAAGCAGCCACAGGAUCGUUGUGAAACAAGUUAUCACACCACCAGAAGUCAUUAAGGCACUCGAAUCAGACUUCAACGAAAGAGUAGCCGAAGAGGCUCAUAUCUCACAGGAAGAUCUACGUUUUCUAUCCAUAAUGGAGAAAAGGCAUCCGGACAAGAAAAAAAAGCUCAAGUCGGAGCACGCCAGCAGAGCUGAGCCGCAGAGUCAGUUGGGGCGCUGGAAGGAAAAGGAGCGAGCCGGGCCCGCUUCCGCCCACUUCCCGGGCAAUAAACUCAAGUCUCUGUCCGCCGCCAAGAAGCAAGAAGACGGCCGAAAGGGUCGAGACAAGCGCUCCGAUACGGAUCACAGAGAAAGGGACCGCGCGAGUUACGACAAGAAGAAGCCGUCGGAGAAAAGCUCAGAUCACGGCAGAUCCGAUCGCUCCAAGGACUGUGAGCGAAAAAGAAAGGACAAGCUUAAAGAUGGGACACUUUCCUCCACUUCCAAUCUGAAAUCACUUCUGGAGGAGAAGAAGUCUUAUCGCUCUGAAAGUGGCAAGUCCUCAUUCACAAAAUCCAAAGAAGAGGCAGCGGGGAGGAUGCCGGAGAAAGAUCGGGAGCGGAGGGAGCGAGACAGAGAUUCGGACAGGCACAAAGACAAGGAGCGCCACAAGGACCGUUCCCAGCAGAGCAAGGCCAACAAAGUCAAGCCCAGCGGAGACAUCAAGGUGGGAGAGAUGUUAGCAGAAGACACUGAAGUUCGAAAGGCCUUCGUGGGCAAGACCUUGACGACGGAAGACUCACUGCUUGAUCGCUUCCAGAAGUUCUCCAGCUGGAUGAUGUUAGUCAAAGCCAUCGCUAGACUCAAACGACGUGUCAAAGAGCUCAAGGGUCUGACAGAAAGAAUCAAUGAAGCCACAAGUCUCGAAGAAAGAAAAGAAGCAGAAAUCACGAUCAAUGACAUAGUGAUUAUAAAGGAUGAAAAUACACCAAGAAAUGAAUGGAAGCUGGCUAAGGUCACACAAGUGUACCCAAAUGAAGAUGGUCAUGUGAGGAAGAUACAGUUAUUGAUCAGCGACUCAGAACUAAGUGACACUGGAAAACGAGUCAACAAACAAACCUACCUGGAGAGACCUAUACAUAAGACUGUGACCUUGCUUGAAGCAGAAUGAGAGACUCCAGUCUACCCUCUCUAGAGCCCCUCCCUAGCGCCAGCUAGCUUAUGACCUAAUCCUUAGUUAUAGUUACCUUAAUUAUACUUACCUCAGUUAUACUUGCCCUUUUUCUCUUAGUCCUACGCAUCUCAGAUAGUUGAAGGAAAUCACAAGUGAUUUGGUGGGAGUGUAGCUGCCAUAAGAAAAUGCACUGAACGUUUUGAUCUAAGCUCUAUUUCCAAGUGGGAACCAAUUUCAGUUUUUGUGUUAGCGGUUCCUUUUUGAGAGUUACACAAGGGCGAGAGUGUCUGAUUUUGAGCCACCGGGUGGCGACGUUUUUCCGUUUGAACAAGCAAGUGGUGAAGAACGCAAGAAAUGCUUAUUUUGCGUCCUCUCUGAUAGCAUUUUUGUUUAUUGUUGAAACCGGAGUUUGAAGACCUGUAUUGUCAGGAUUUACGUUUUUCUUCGUUUUCUCCCUCGAGCAAAUGCGGCAAUGAGUUCUCACGGCAUGUGUGUGGAGAAGUUGAAUAAAUGCCCGUUUUGAAGAA